GCUUGUCUCAAAGAUUAAGCCAUGCAUGUCUAAGUGUAAAUACGUCUACACUGUGAAACUGCGAAUGGCUCAUUAAAUCAGUUAUCGUUUAUUUGAUGAUCUCUUGUUACAUGGAUAACCGUAGUAAUUCUAGAGCUAAUACAUGCGUCAAGCCCCGACUUCGGAAGGGGUGUAUUUAUUAGAUACAAACCAACAUCGUGGUGAUUCAUAAUAACUUUGCGAAUCGUAUGCCUCACGGCGACGAUGAAUCAUUCAAGUUUCUGACCUAUCAGCUUCCGACGGUAGGGUAUUGGCCUACCGUGGCAAUGACGGGUAACGGAGAAUUAGGGUUCGAUUCCGGAGAGGGAGCCUGAGAAACGGCUACCACAUCUAAGGAAGGCAGCAGG
rnacentral:rRNA from 1 species